rnacentral:rRNA from 1 species
CCUACGGGGGGCAGCAGUGGGGGAUAUUGCACAAUGGGGGAAACCCUGAUGCAGCGACGCCGCGUGUGGGAAGACGGUCUUCUGGAUUGUAAACCACUGUCCCCAGGGACGAAAAUGACGGUACCUGGGGAGGAAGCUCCGGCUAACUACGUGCCAGCAGCCGCGGUAAUACGUAGGGAGCAAGCGUUGUCCGGAAUUACUGGGUGUAAAGGGAGCGUAGGCGGGGAUGCAAGUUGGGUGUCAAAACUACCGGCUCAACCGAUAGUCGCACUCAAAACUGCAACUCUUGAGUGAAGUAGAGGCAGGCGGAAGUCCUAGUGUAGCGGUGAAAUGCGUAGAUAUUAGGAGGAACACCAGUGGCGAAAGCGGCCUGCUGGGCUUUUACUGACGCUGAGGCUCGAAAGUGUGGGGAGCAAACAGGAUUAGAUACCCUAGUAGUC